CAGUAGCCGCGGUAAGACAGAGGAUGCAAGCGUUAUCCGGAAUGAUUGGGCGUAAAGCGUCUGUAGGUGGCUUUUCAAGUCCGCCGUCAAAUCCCAGGGCUCAACCCUGAACAGGCGAUGGAAACUACCAAGCUGGAGUAUGGUAGGGGCAGAGGGAAUUUCCGGUGUAGCGGUGAAAUGCGUAGAGAUGUGGAGGAACACCAGUGGCGAAGGCGACUCUCUGGUCUGUAACUGACGCUGAGGAGCGAAAGCGUGGGGAGCGAACAGGAUUAGAUACCCCCGUAGUCCCUGUCUCUUAUAC
rnacentral:rRNA from 1 species